rnacentral:ncRNA from 1 species
GCACCUCGAUAGUAACAUGUCGAGUUAAAUUAGAAAUAAUUUAUGGGAAAUUGGGUUAAUUUCAAGAAAAUCUUUACACUCCAAAAUUUUUUCUAUAUGUUAAGCUUCAAGCUUAACAAACCCACUUACGGUGGGUUGCCUCUACUUUUUCGGGGGUGCCCAGCGAAGCUGGGUCACCCGAUGGUUAAAAAUUUUUGGAGUUAAAGACAACUUGAAGCGAAGCUAGUUCUGACAAUAAGCUAAUUAUGGAACUAGAACGUUCAACGACUAGUGGGUGAGUUUUGUCAACAAUAAUCCCGCCACGAAUGCCCAACAACUAAAGUCACAGAUAGAAUCGGAAUUUGUGAUUGAAACAAUUA